UAUCACUUUAUGCUGAACAGAAAAUUGUAAAGAAAGGAAACAUGAUGUCAAAAUAUAACAUUAGCACAAAAAGCCCAUGAUUUUAGCAAGAAUGAGGGUGAAAUCAAGUUUUCUGAUUUUACUUUCACAUGGUUCCCUGUUCAUGUCUUCCAAAAGGUAGUGGUCUGAUCUUCAGCUUGCUCCUGUCCUGGAGAAGAUGUAAGGUGGCUUCUGUCAUGAACAGUUAUGCCUGGGGUCAAUUCCAGUCUGAGAAGAUGGCCUGAAGGACAAGGUCAUCACCCACUUGUGAUGGAGACCAGUGUGGCUGCUGAAAUUGCUCAUCCUGAUGUUCAGCAAGCAAGACUCCAGGAUCCUGGCCAGCUGGAGCAGGAGAGGCUGCCAAGUCCGUCAGGUUGAUGGAGCCAGCAGGCUGCUCCACCUGACUGUCUGGAAGCAUUCUUUUGCUCUCUUGGGAGGUUCCCAGCGCGUCUCCAUUUCCUCUGAAAGAAGGUUCACCCAUGACUGCCAGCAUCUAUGUCAGGUCUUCUUUCCAUGGGUGCUGCGGCUGCAAAACCCAGAGAUCCAUGGCCCUUCUUUGCACUGUUUUAGCCAUCCCCAGCUGCACAAGCCCUGAAAAUUUCCAAAAUGUGGCUAAUGAAGCAGAUGAAAAGACACAGGAUGUUGGCUAGUGCUAUAGCUGCUUUAUAGAGAUAGAGGGAAUGAUCUUCUCAAGAAUUCUUGAUAUCCUGGUGAAGACAGGAACAAACCAUAUUUUUCUGCGCUUUUAAAGAAGAACUUAUUUGUCAACAACUGAGAAGAACCUGAAGAAUCCUGAGGUGCAUAAGGCAGUAACAAGGGGACAGCUGAAAUUUAUGUUAU
rnacentral:lncRNA from 1 species